GGGUGCAAUCAUACCAGCACUAAUGCACCGGAUUCCAUCAGAACUCUGCAGUUAAGCGUGCUUGGGCGAGAGUAGUACUAGGAUGGGUGACCUCCCGGGAAGUCCUCGUGUUGCACCCCAUU
rnacentral:rRNA from 1 species